rnacentral:rRNA from 1 species
CCUUGACGCUAUUGGAUGAGCCUAUGUCGGAUUAGCUAGUUGGUAGGGUAAAAGCCUACCAAGGCAACGAUCCGUAGCUGGUCUGAGAGGAUGAUCAGCCACACUGGGACUGAGACACGGCCCAG